AUGAUCCAAAAAGUUUAUCCCUCUCUCUCUCUGCUGAUGCUUUUUUUUUUUUUUGGUUAUCUGCUUCUCUCUCGGCCAUCAGUUUCUUGUUCUUGAUUGAAUCUUUUUAACUGCUUAUUAGAGAUUCAUUAGCACCUUCUUCUUUUUCUUUUUGUUAUUUUAUUGUAUCUUUUAUGGCAAUUUUAGUUUCUCGGUUGUAAUUCCAAGAAACUCUGCGAAUUCUUUUGAGUGUAGAAUUUGGAGGGAGCAGCUGAUAUUAUUAUAGUUGGGAGUGAAGUGUGUAAAAGAUCUUUGAUUUGUUAUUUUUUCAAGGAAGGUACCAAGAUGGUGCUUUUAGUAGUCUUAGUGGAUU
rnacentral:lncRNA from 1 species